GCCUUUUUUUAAUCCUUUUAUUUCCAUAUUGGAGUGUGAAAAGAUAGCCAGCAAAACCAUUUCAUUCUUGUUGGAUUACAAACUGGAAGUAUCUGCUUUCAGCCAGUUGUCAUUAUAACAGUCCAUGAUAUGGCAAUUUGUUGGGCAUUGGAAAACUAACUUGUCAACUGCACAAAAACCCCAUCUGAUUUUGUGAUUCUGUUGUGUUAUAAUUUUAAACGGUAGAACAUGCAAGAAUCAGGCAUUGGGAUGAUCAGAGAUAGCCGUUUUAUUAUGAUUUUUAUUACAAACUGAUAGAAAUUAUGUGCUGUAAUUUUUUUGAAUUGAUCA
rnacentral:misc_RNA from 1 species